rnacentral:rRNA from 1 species
AUGGGCUUUCUCGAUUUCCCCUUCGUUGCUGGCACGGAGGGCGACCCGCGCAGGUUCCCGGGGCACGGGGAGGUGCUCCGGUACCUCGAAGCGUUCGCGCGGCGGUUCGAUCUCCAUGGGCUGGUCCGGCUACAGACGGAGGUGGUCAGCGUCCGCCGCAGGGUUGAUGGCGCGGGCGCGGCGGGAUGGAGUGUCUCGUACUGCUCGACAAAGCUCGCCAGCGUCGGUAACGAGGUAGAGGAGGAGGUGUUCGACGCCGUGGUUGUCUGCAACGGCCACUUCACCGAGCCCCGCCUGGCCGACAUCGCCGGCAUAGAUGGCUGGCCAGGGAAGCAGAUGCACAGCCACAGCUACCGUGUCCCAGACCCAUUUCACGGGCAGGUUGUGGUGGUAGUAGGAUACCGGAGCAGCGGAUUUGACAUUUCGAGGGAAAUUGCUGGGGUCGCCAGAGAGGUCCAUGUUGCCGAUCGCUCGCUACCUUCAGCUGAUUCCACGUGUGAGACUGCCCGCUGUGACAACCUGUCGUUUCAUCCGGUGAUCGAGCGUGCUGAGGAAGAUGGCGGUGUGGUGUUCCAGGACGGCACUCGGGUGAAGGCGGAUGUCAUCAUCCACUGCGCAGGUAGAUACAAGUACAACUAUCCAUUCCUCAGUGACGACCACUCUGUUAUCUCUGUUGACGACAAUCGCGUGGGCCCGCUAUACAAGCAUGUCUUCCCGCCGCACUUGGCUCCUCACAUCUUAUUCAUCGGAUUGCCCUUCAAGGGUAUCCUUUUCUCCAUGUUCCAACUCCAAAGCAACUGGGUUGCCGGAGUUCUGUCGGGAAGGAUCGAGUUGCCAUCACAAGAGGAGAUGAUGCGGGAUGUGGCUCUAUUUUACUCGGAGUUAGAAGCUCGCGGAUGCCCCAAAAGAUACACCCAUGACCUUGGAGGGGGCACUACGUAUGAAUAUGACGAUUGA